rnacentral:rRNA from 1 species
AGAGUUUGAUCCUGGCUCAGAACGAACGCUGGCGGCAUGCCUAACACAUGCAAGUCGAACGAAGCCUUCGGGCUUAGUGGCGCACGGGUGCGUAACACGUGGGAAUCUGCCCUUCGGUUCGGAAUAACAGUUAGAAAUGACUGCUAAUACCGGAUGAUGACGUAAGUCCAAAGAUUUAUCGCCGAAGGAUGAGCCCGCGUAGGAUUAGGUAGUUGGUAGGGUAAUGGCCUACCAAGCCGACGAUCCUUAGCUGGUCUGAGAGGAUGAUCAGCCACACUGGGACUGAGACACGGCCCAGACUCCUACGGGAGGCAGCAGUGGGGAAUAUUGGACAAUGGGCGAAAGCCUGAUCCAGCAAUGCCGCGUGAGUGAUGAAGGCCUUAGGGUUAUAAAGCUCUUUUACCAGGGAUGAUAAUGACAGUACCUGGAGAAUAAGCUCCGGCUAACUCCGUG